rnacentral:rRNA from 1 species
GUGGGGAAUAUUGGACAAUGGGGGGAACCCUGAUCCAGCCAUGCCGCGUGUGUGAAGAAGGCCUUUUGGUUGUAAAGCACUUUAAGCGAGGAGGAGGCUACCGAGAUUAAUACUCUUGGAUAGUGGACGUUACUCGCAGAAUAAGCACCGGCUAACUCUGUGCCAGCAGCCGCGGUAAUACAGAGGGUGCAAGCGUUAAUCGGAUUUACUGGGCGGAACGCGCGCGUAGGUGGCCAAUUAAGUCAAAUGUGAAAUCCCCGAGCUUAACUUGGGAAUUGCAUUCGAUACUGGUUGGCUAGAGUAUGGGAGAGGAUGGUAGAAUUCCAGGUGUAGCGGUGAAAUGCGUAGAGAUCUGGAGGAAUACCGAUGGCGAAGGCAGCCAUCUGGCCUAAUACUGACACUGAGGUGCGAAAGCAUGGGGAGCAAACAGGAUUAGAAACCCGAGUAGUCC